CCUACGGGUGGCAGCAGUGGGGCAUAUUGCACAAUGGGGGAAACACUGAUGCAGCGACGCCGCGUGAGUGAAGAAGUAUUUCGGUAUGUACAGCUCUAUCAGCAGGGCAGAAAAAAGACGGUACCUGACUAAGAAGCCCCGGCUAACUACGUGCCAGCAGCCGCUGAAAUAAGUAGGGGGCAAGCGUUAUACGGAUUUAAUGGGUGUAAAGGGAGCGUAGACGGUAUUGCAAGUCUGAAGUGAAAGCCCAGGGCUUAACCCUGGUACUGCUUUGGAAACGGUUAGACUAGAGUGCUGGAGAGGUAAGUGGAAGUCCUAGUGUAGCGGUGAAAGGCGUAGAUAUUAGGAGGAACACCAGUGGCGAAGGCGGCUUACUGGACAGUAACUGACGUUGAGGCUCGAAAGCGUGGGGAGCAAACAGGAUUAGAUACCCCUGUAGUC
rnacentral:rRNA from 1 species